UCGGAAUGAAGUUUUAGUGACUGAGUGGCGGACGGGUGAGUAACGCGUGGGUAACCUGCCUCACACAGGGGGAUAACAGUUGGAAACGGCUGCUAAUACCGCAUAAGCGCACAGUACCGCAUGGUACAGUGUGAAAAACUCCGGUGGUGUGAGAUGGGCCCGCGUCUGAUUAGCUAGUUGGCAGGGCAACGGCCUACCAAGGCGACGAUCAGUAGCCGACCUGAGAGGGUGACCGGCCACAUUGGGACUGAGACACGGCCCAAACUCCUACGGGAGGCAGCAGUGGGGAAUAUUGCACAAUGGGGGAAACCCUGAUGCAGCGACGCCGCGUGAGCGAAGAAGUAUUUCGGUAUGUAAAGCUCUAUCAGCAGGGAAGAAGAAAUGACGGUACCUGACUAAGAAGCACCGGCUAAAUACGUGCCAGCAGCCGCGGUAAUACGUAUGGUGCAAGCGUUAUCCGGAUUUACUGGGUGUAAAGGGAGCGCAGGCGGAAGGCUAAGUCUGAUGUGAAAGCCCGGGGCUCAACCCCGGUACUGCAUUGGAAACUGGUCAUCUAGAGUGUCGGAGGGGUAAGUGGAAUUCCUAGUGUAGCGGUGAAAUGCGUAGAUAUUAGGAGGAACACCAGUGGCGAAGGCGGCUUACUGG
rnacentral:rRNA from 1 species